AUACCGUUCGUAGACCUCAAAUUUGAAAUUGAAAUUAUUUAAAGAAAAACACCGCCCUCCUAUCCACCCAAUCACAAAUCAAAAAAUCGAACGGAAGAAAUAGUUUCCUAAGAGCGUUGGUAUACCUCAAAUUUGAAAUUGAGUUUAUUUAAGGAAAAACACCCCACCCCACCCCACCCGAUCGCCAAAAUCAAAAAAAUUUCAAAAUCGCUUAAACGGCCUUUCUCCUUCCCCUUCAAUUUACUGUUAUAGACUUAUAGGUGAAUGUUUCCCUUCACUACUCUCCGAUGAUUCAAUGUCUAUCGUUUAAUCGAAUCCACGACGGUUACUGGCGGUGAGGAUUUUGUUUUCAAAUUGCAUAUUGUAGGUGAUUCUCGAUUUCUGUGUUUUGGAGUUUUAUUUUGGUUUUGUUGUAGUGCUUUUCUGGAAAUUUUUUCAUAAUAAAUGUUGACUGAAAAGUAGUGGAAAUUCUAUGGCAAGCUAAUCUGGUUCAGGCGUCUAAAGAAAUCCUAAUGAGCGGGCAGAUUUACUAGUCUUAUGCAAUUGAUUCGAAAUUGAUGGUUUAUGUUAAGCCGGCUUGAGGUUUUAUGGACUCUUAUCAGUUAUCACCCUGUGUUUUUAGAUAAAUCAUCCGCGAGAUGAGAUAGAAGGAUCUGAUUUGAGAAGUCAAAGAAGGAGAGGUAGAUGAGCGGAGCUCGACUGUGUGCAUUAUCGCGAGAAAUGGCGUAUGAACGGCCAGAGGCAUUUGAUCCGUUCGUAACAGUACGACGACGCGCGCCCCAUCCUUGAGUGGAUCUGCUCCAGCCUUCGUCCCUCAAGUAUCCUCUCUCUCUCUCCGAGCUCUCCCAGGAUGCUACGCAGGCAUAUAAAGCUGAAGCUUUAGAGCUGCAAAGAGAGCUCAUGCAUUUGCAGCCAAAAUUUUGACAUACUCACAGGCCAGGUCUCAGCUUUAAUCCAAGGGAGAAGGGCUCGAGUUGCUUUAACAUCCACUGAAUGGACACCUUACAACUAUUGAUGAUAGCAUUUCAGAAAAAAAUUGCAGGGUUCUUUCCGCUUAGUCACUGAGGAGGGCAAAUCUAAAUCUUCAUGGGUGAGUCUUGAUGACACUUCAAAUAUAAUUAUACAAGGUAUCCUUUGCUAUUGCUUCUAUAGGUUGGCCCUCUAUUCUUUUUCUUGCCAUAUGAUAAAGUUUGUCAAUAUGAAUACAUGAUUAUCUUUCUCUUGUUUUCCUUGUUUGCAUCCAAGUUUGAAUGAAGAUUUGCAUGUGUUUGGAGAGGCCGCCAUACUUUCUAGUUUCUAUUCUAGAGGUAAAAGCAUAGUUAGUGCUGAAAAUAAGCUAAAGAAUCCUUGGGAUAAGCCUGGAGUAAAUCUUGAUUUGCUUUGUUUACAUUUGUUGAUGAGCCAUGUCCAUGUUAUGGUUGAGCAUGGUAUAAGUGUAUAACAAAUAAAAAUAGUUCGAAUUAUACUCAAGUCUUGGGUGUCUUGGGUUUUUUUGCUGUCUAAAUAGCCUCAUCCUAUAUAUAGAAAUUCGUAAUGUAGCAGCACUGAGGGAAAUUUUAUGAGGUUCAAAUUUGUGCCAAUUUUUUGAUGUGGGAGAAACAUACACGGAGACUAGGCUGUUCAACUAGGGUUUAUUUAGCUCUCACUUUGAUUAUUUGAUUACCAUGCUUUUUUUUGAAUGACCGCAUGUCUUCUGAGCCAUGGCUGAAUGUGAUUUGAGCCUUUCUCAGCCACUUUACCGUCUUUCAAUCUUAUGGUGUUUAGCGUCACUACAAAUAUAUCCGUGAUGUAAUCCUACUUUUUAAUCGAGAUUGGAAAUUUUACCCCUAAAUUUACCCCUCGUUCUCGAGAGUGAGGAACUUUUGACAUGU